rnacentral:misc_RNA from 1 species
GAUGAAGAACGCAGUGAAAUGCGAUAACUAGUGUGAAUUGCAGAAUUCCGUGAAUCAUCGAGUCUUUGAACGCACAUUGCGCCCCCUGGUAUUCCGGGGGGCAUGCCUGUCCGAGCGUCAUUGCUGCCCAUCAAGCACGGCUUGUGUGUUGGGUCGUCGUCCCCUCUCCGGGGGGGACGGGCCCCAAAGGCAGCGGCGGCACCGCGUCCGAUCCUCGAGCGUAUGGGGCUUUGUCACCCGCUCUGUAGGCCCGGCCGGCGCUUGCCGAACGCAAAUCAAUCUUUUUCCAGGUUGACCUCGGAUCAGGUAGGGAUACCCGCUGAACUUAAGCAUAUCAAUAAGCGGAGGA